AGAGCUGCCCUGCCGCAGCAGUUGUUCUGGAUAGAACCUUAUCGGAAGCUGAGUCAUAUGCAUCCAAGGAGCAAGUUUUGCAUCAAAGGCUCUUGUCGCCUUACUUUCUCCGAGACCAUAUUCAGAACAUAGAAAGGGAAGUCAAGCUUGCUCAUUCAAGUGGUUUGGCAGAAUCGAUGACUCAAUUAACAACUUUCAAUCCAGAACUUCAUCAAGAUGUUCAACUUAUAUGGGCGGGAAAAGAGUUAUCGAGGGGGAAAAAGUUAUGUGAAUAUAUUGGUGAAAAUGAAAAAACAAAGAUUACAAUCAAAUUAAAAUUUGGCUGCUAGGACCUGAAAAUAUGCUGUUAUUUUCCAGUUCUCAAAUGUGGAAGAAGAAUGCUGACUAUUAUUAUGGUUGAUUCCCGCUAGCCAAGAAAUGCCGAAGUUUUUCAUUGUGUAUUUACUGAAGCAUCUCUCUUUCUCUCUCUCUACUAGGAGUUUUGAAAGAGCAAGCAUGCAUGAUGUAGCUCAUAUAAGGUUGUUAUCUGAGUUUUUGAUAAUAUAUACAAGUUUAUGAACUAAAUCAUUUGAGCUAGACAAAUUACAAUAUCAUGAUGUGUGCAUUCCUUUCUCUAUUCACCCAAGACGAUCAUCCGGAGCGAACAAGAAUUGGUGAUCGGAUGCGGGCGAAAUUCCUGCCAAUGUUGAGAUGUUUAGAUGACUCCCCACCCCCUUCUUGGGUGUCAUGAUUAUAUAAGCAAUAUGUAGAAUAAACCUUUAAAUCUAUUUAUGUUUGCAAUCAGUUGUAUUGGAUAAGUUUGUCAAUUACAAUUUAUUUUGAUGUUUAAUAGUUUUAAAGGACUGUUUUUGCUCAGAUGAACCCAAGUUUCGGUUCAAUGAUUGUAUUUUUCUUGGAUGUACAUUCAUCUCAGCGGGUGUGUUUAAUCCUAUGAAAGAUGAUGUUUCAUAAUAUGAACCCCAAAUAAUUGGUAGAAGGCUGAUGAUGGUGGUGGUGAUGAUGAUUUACUCAAUCCUACUUCAAAAUUUUGAUAGUAUUUUUUGACUUUAAUCUAUUGGAUCAAAUCUGCUUCAAAAUUGAUUCAAUUGAUCAUUUUUUAUUCGUUCAAAAUUUGGGACACCAUGACUUUGUUUGCUUAUGUGAAAAGAAUGCCGGAAUAUUUUGCGGCCUCAAGUUUUAAGUUUUAACUUGUUAAUAUUGUAUGUCUCAUCUUUGCUUUUACUUUAGCUUGCAUUGGUUGCAAAUACAAUCUCCUGAAAGAAGAAUAGCAUCCCUAACUAUUUAGGGUUAUUUGUAUAAAAAUCCAUGUAGAUUGAGGUUUUCUUGCAAAGGGACAGUAAUUUCUUGAAACUCUGACAAUACUACUAGGCUUUGUCAUAAAACAUAGUAUAGCAAAAUUCUGUAGCAAUCCUUAUUAAUACUGCCAGUGUUUUAAUAGGCCUUGCUAUAAGGCUAAGGUUAGUCUUCCUUAUUAAUGAAAUAUACUAAAUUAUCAUUUCUAACAAAAUGCCAAAAUUUUAUGGAGUUUUAGACAAACAAGAAGAACAUUUAUAUUCUUGUCCAAAAAGUAACGCCAAUGUUUAAGGGUUGGCAUCAUUGCAAAGAAUCACUGAAUGAUCCUUCAAACUUUAAACGUGCUAUAUCUCAUAUCUCAACCAUAUGUGAUAAAAAUGUUACUUUUCUCCAUCAAAAUUAACUCUUUUACUCUGUUAUGUUUGUUAUUCAGCAUUCGAUCUCUUUUGUGUUAUUUUAGCUGUAGUUCAUUACGAUUAAAUCCUGAUAAACAACUCUAGUGCAAAUGAUACCAAAUUGUGGUGUUAAUUCGUCAUAGAAAAAUGGCAUCUUUCCCCACAUAAAAUGACAAUCAAGGUCUUAUCUUUUCCAAUAUCUUGUUAUUCUGAAAUUUCAUUUCAAAUGUGGACCAACUUGAUGCAUCUCUUGUAUGUACAAAUGUUUAAAUUAUGACCGUUGGGGACUUCCUUGUUUCUUCAUUCUAGAGAAAGAUACUCAUGUAAGCGCAUCAUUUCCCAAUAACUCUUUCUUCUCUAAUUUUCUUCC